AGUGGAUGGGGAGCAACCUAGUUGUGCGUGUGUAAAGGUAGUGCCAAGAAAAGCGAUGAUCAUGUUGAAAAUCAAUUCCCGGUACCCGAAACCGACACAGGUGGGCAAGUAGAGAAUACUAAGGGGCGCGAGGUAACUCUCUCCAAGGAACUCGGCAAAAUGACCCCGUAACUUAUGGAGAAGGGGUGCCACCGAGAGGUGGUCGCAGUGAAGAGGCCCAGGCGACUGUUUAGCAAAAACAUAGGUCUCUGCAAACUCGAAAGAGGAGGUAUAGGGGCUGACGCCUGCCCAGUGCCGGAAGGUUAAAGAAGUUGGUCAGUUUUAGGAUGAAGCUAGCGACUGAAGCCCCGGUGAACGGCGGCCGUAACUAUAACGGUCCUAAGGUAGCGAAAUUCCUUGUCGGGUAAGUUCCGACCCGCACGAAAGGCGUAACGAUCUGGGCGCUGUCUCGGAGAGAGGCUCGGCGAAAUAGGAUUGUCUGUGAAGAUACGGACUACCUGCAUUUGGACAGAAAGACCCUAUGAAGCUUACUAUAGCUUGGAAUUGUGUUCGGGCUUCCUGUGCGCAGGAUAGGUGGGAGGCGAAGAAGGUAUUCUUGUGGGGAUACUGGAGCCAACGGUGAGAUACCACUCUCAGGAGGCUAGAAUUCUAACUUAAUUAAGGACAGUUUCAGGUGGGUAGUUUGACUGGGGCGGUCGCCUCCAAAAAGGUAACGGAGGCGUACAAAGGUUCCCUCAGACUGGUUGGAAAUCAGUCGCAGAGUGCAAAGGCAGAAGGGAGCUUGACUGCGAGAAGUACAGUUCGAGCAGGGUGGAAACACGGUCUUAGUGAUCCGACGGUGCUGUGUGGAAGGGCCGUCGCUCAACGGAUAAAAGUUACUCUAGGAUAACAGGCUGAUCUCCCCCAAGAGUUCACAUCGACGGGGAGGUUUGGCACCUCGAUGUCGGCUCAUCGCAACCUGGGGCGGAAGUACGUCCCAAGGGUUGGGCUGUUCGCCCAUUAAAGCGGUACGUGAGCUGGGUUCAGAACGUCGUGAGACAGUUCGGUCCAUAUCCGAUGUAGGCGUGAGAAUAUUGAGAGGAGCCUUCCUUAGUACGAGAGGACCGGGAAGGACGCACCGCUGGUGUACCUGUUAUGAUGCCAAUUGUAAACGCAGGGUAGCCAAGUGCGGAGAGGAUAACCGCUGAAAGCAUCUAAGUGGGAAGCCCACCUCAAGAUGAGUAUUCUGGUGUAAGGUCACGGGAAGACGACCCGUAAAUAGGCACGAGGUGGAAGUGCAGAGAUGUAUGAAGCCGAAGUGUACUAAUAGACCGUCGGUUUGACCC
rnacentral:rRNA from 1 species